AGUGCAGAAGAACGGAACACUAAGCGACGUGGAAUCAUGGAACAACGCACUCGCCUGACUUCCAAUGGAAAGGAGUUUCAGUCUAGCAAAAGAUCAGCCUUUGAAAAGGAACAGGUUGGAGUAGAUGUAAAUCGCCUUCUGGGAGAACCUCGUGAAUAAUCCAACAGAAGAAACAUCGAUCAGUUGUGAUUAUCCGUGAGCUCUGUCAACGUAUUGAAGUUCAGCGGUUUCUUCAAGAAAACUGUCUUCGUGCCUGAUGUCUCGACAGCUUGUUGUCUGAGUUGCACACUAUUUCUCCCUCUUUCUCUCUCACACGCACAGCCACUUAUUAUUACUUCUUUGUGUUGAGCAGUGUUUGUUUAUUCAAUGUUG